rnacentral:lncRNA from 1 species
AAAUUGAAAAAAAAGAAAACAUUGAUCAUCUCCCAAUGUCCCUCGGAAUCACAUCCACGUUGAUCAUCUUCCAAUUCUUCCGCUAGAUCCCACGUUUAUCCCGUUCGGAUUGGUUCCAUCUUCAUGGGAUAAACUCAAAUCCCAUCUUCCUGCGUGAUCUCAUGGAACAUCCCGAGUCUGCCACGUCCUGCAUCUUCCCCUGUUUUGGAAUAACAUCCUCUCAGCCGAGAUCCCAACUUCUUUCCCCUGUUUCACGUUCAAACCCGUUCGCAAAUCAA